rnacentral:rRNA from 1 species
UACGUAGGGCGCAAGCGUUAUCCGGAAUUAUUGGGCGUAAAGAGCUCGUAGGCGGUUUGUCGCGUCUGCCGUGAAAGUCCGGGGGCUCAACUCCGGAUCUGCGGUGGGUACGGGCAGACUAGAGUGAUGUAGGGGAGACUGGAAUUCCUGGUGUAGCGGUGAAAUGCGCAGAUAUCAGGAGGAACACCGAUGGCGAAGGCAGGUCUCUGGGCAUUAACUGACGCUGAGGAGCGAAAGCGUGGGUAGCAAACAGG